CCUGGUGGUUAGAGUGUAGAGGUGGCAGGUGGCCUAGUGGUUAGAGUGUAGAGGUGGCAGGUGGCCUAGUGGUUAGAGUGUAGAGGUGGCAGGUAGCCUCGUGGUUAGAGUGUAGAGGUGGCAGGUAGCCUCGUGGUUAGAGUGUAGAGGUGGCAGGUAGCCUCGUGGUUAGAGUGUAGAGGUGGCAGGUAGCCUAGUGGUUAGAGUGUAGAGGUGGCAGGUAGCCUAGUGGUUAGAGUGUAGAGGUGGCAGGUAGCCUAGUGGUUAGAGUGUAGAGGUGGCAGGUAGCCUAGUGGUUAGAGUGUAGAGGUGGCAGGUAGCCUAGUGGUUAGAGUGUAGAGGUGGCAGGUAGCCUAGUGGUUAGAGUGUAGAGGUGGCAGGUGGCCUAGUGGUUAGAGUGUAGAGGUGGCAGGUAGCCUGGUGG